AGCUUUUUCAAACUGACACAGAGGUGAAUGGGCAAGAUUACAAUUAAUUGUGACAUUUUUCUUCGACAACACUCACAACAGCACUCUUCGCGGCUCCUGCCGGCUCUAUACUAACCCUGUUUCACACGCAAUAUUUUCCUUAUUCAGUCGUUAACACACCUUUUGUAUCCCACUACGAAGAACAUCAACAUUUCCACCAAAACCCCGAAAAAAUCAUCAUUUUAUAGACGAAACAAUAAAAUAUUUCAAACAAUUUGUUUUGCUUUUG